rnacentral:tRNA from 1 species
UGGGGUGUAGCCAAGUGGUAAGGCAACGGGUUUUGAUCCCGUCAUGCGUAGGUUCGAGCCCUACCACCCCAG